UUUCCGGCUCCGGGUCCCGGGAGGAGGAGGACCUUCGGGGGCCAUAGGCGGGGCCCCCGCCGCUGCCGCGACUUUCAGACUCUAACCAUGGCUUCGUGCUUGUGGCCCUGGCGGCGCUGCUGCUCCUGGAGGCCGGCCGCGCGGAGCCCCGAGCCCACCGCUCCGGGCCGUGCGGGGUCGUCCGGGACGCGCUCCUCGUCGGGUGCCCGCACGAAGAUGCCCUAUUUUAAUCUUAUGGAGAGUUUAACAUCUUCCUUUCCAAAUGUGUGUAGGAUAUCAUGGUUUCAUCAUACAGCACCAGCAGUGUGCUGUUGCAGUAAAACACGGAGCGGUGAGAAAUACACCGAUCCUUUUAAACUUGGCUGGAGAGACUUGAAAGGUCUGUAUGAGGACAUUAGAAAGGAACUACUCAUAUCUACAACAGAACUUAAGGAAAUGUCUGAGUACUACUUUGAUGGAAAAGGAAAAGCCUUUCGACCAAUUAUUGUGGUACUAAUGGCCCGAGCAUGUAAUAUUCAUCAUAAUAACUCCCGAGAUGUGCAAGCAAGCCAGCGCUCCAUAGCCUUAAUUGCAGAAAUGAUCCACACUGCUAGUCUGGUUCAUGAUGAUGUUAUUGAUGAUGCAAGUUCUCGAAGAGGAAAGCGCACAGUUAAUAAGAUCUGGGGGGAAAAGAAGGCUGUUCUUGCUGGAGAUUUAAUUCUUUCUGCAGCAUCUAUAGCUUUGGCACGAAUUGGAAAUACAACAGUUAUAUCUAUUUUAACCCAAGUUAUUGAAGAUUUGGUGCGUGGUGAAUUUCUUCAACUAGGGUCAAAAGAAAAUGAGAAUGAAAGAUUUGCCCACUACCUUGAAAAGACCUUCAAGAAGACUGCAAGUCUGAUAGCCAACAGUUGUAAAGCAGUCUCUGUCUUAGGUUGCCCUGACCCAGUGGUGCAUGAGAUUGCCUAUCAAUAUGGAAAAAAUGUGGGAAUAGCUUUUCAGCUAAUAGAUGACGUAUUAGACUUUACCUCGUGUUCACAGCAGAUGGGCAAACCAACAUCAGCCGACCUGAAGCUCGGGUUAGCCACUGGACCUGUGUUAUUUGCUUGUCAGCAGGUAGGUUUUACAAACUCCCUUGACACACACUGAUAUGUAGUCCUAUAGAACCAAAGUCUCCCAGGCACAGCAUGAUGGGAAGGUUAAAGCAGAGAAGAGACUGCAGACCUGGGUUUAAUCCUGGCUCUGUGACCGAGAUGUUAGGGGAAGUCAUUUCACCUCUCUAAGCCUAUUUCCUUACCUGUAAAAUAAGAACCUUCCUCCCAAGACUGUUGUGAGGAUUAACUGAGAUAAUAUACAUGGAGAUACUUUGUAAAUUGUAUGCAUUUGAAGUAGCGUGAUUAUUUCCAUAUACUUUUGACACUGGCAAGAUGAGUGGUUUCCACAUUUUGAGUGUAGGCAGAGGCCUUAAGGCACAGGAAGUGUCAGGGGCAUUUGAGCCUAAGAGAUUCUCAGAAAUUCUCUGUUCUAGACUGUUUGCUGCUCUGAGAGAGGCCUCAGAGAGCCCCAUCCCCUCAAAAUGGCAAAAAGUCAGUGGAAUGCACCACUAGAAUCACAGUUCCUUCUUUCUCCAGAUUCAUAUUCUCCCUAGCAUGGAUGAAAGGCUUAGGAAGCUUCAGAGGCUGCAGUGACUUACAAAGCAGACAUUUUCACAGCCUGCUCUGGACCAUGGCCACACUGUUCUUGGCUGUGCCAAAAGUUAGGUGAAAUAUAUGGACACUGGCUGGCACCUGGGACAUCUUUUUAGAUUUUCAUAUUAAUGGUAUUUUAUUCGUUAUUUAGCAGAGCUAUAAAGAUGUUCAUCACCAUGCCAUGAAAUUAAAAACUAGCAUUUUGUUCUAAAAUUUUACUUUUAGUCUUUCAGGGAUUCUGACUCUAUUCUUUCUCAAAAUUUGCGAACGUAAGUCAUGUCUUCCAUAGAACUUUUAUAAAUCACUGAUUCCAUUUUGACAUUAUAGAAAGCAGUAUAAUUUCUGAUUCCAGAGUGGAGAGAUCAUCCUUUAUUUUCUAGGAGAGUCAUAGCCAGAAUGACUCUUCCUAGGUGAGGUUCACUGCUGGCACUGCUGGCGUAGGUACAGGUUACCUUAGGAACAUGCUAGUGGACAGCGGUCAGCUGUGGAAUAAGGGCUGUGGAUGGGGAUUUUGGAACACUCUGGAAACAUCAAUCUUCAAUAUUACUGGGUUCCAGCCUCUCAAAAUUUUGAGGCAGAGGUGAGAAAUUUAAUGUAUGCUAUAGAUGGGUCCUUUCUCCCAGUGACACUGACUGGGAGACUUUGGUUCUAUAGGGCUGACUCACCAACCCAAUUAAAACAAAUAUUAGUAAGUGUGCCAGUGCUGACAAAAAUUAAUAAAAUCCCCUUUCAUACAUUAAGGCAUAAGUGAGAAACCUUUUCCUGUUUUAUCAUUACCCACAAAAAAAGCAAAGUAUUCAUGAGCCAUGUAAAGGUAAAGGCAUGUUUGAUUGAGAUUAGAAAAAUUAGUCACUGGCUACCAUUUCUGCAACUACAAACAUUAAUCCACUACUCAGACCCUGAUUAAUACAUGAGAGUAAUAAAUUAUAGUGAUGAACCCAGUGUGCUAAAAUAUAUUGAUUUGUCAGUAAUCUACAAGAGACUCAAAAAUGCUGGUAAAGGGGAGGAAAAAAAAAAGGAAAAGGAAGUAACAAAAGGCUGCAGUGCCCCAAACCACUGUUUUUGUUUCUCUGGGAAAUCCCAGCAUCACGAGGCUCCACACUCACUCUAACCAGACAGCACUUUUCUCAUCUGCCCAUAAGGCAGUGGGAAAAGGAGUUAAGAAGGCACAUUGCAGCCUCAGAAAAGGGAACACAGAAUGAGGCUGAGCAGGAAAUGACACUCGAACUGGGCAUGACUUGUUUCCUAAGCAGACUGGUUUUUCCGUCUUGUGGUACAUGAGCCAGAAGUUAGUCGGAUAUGUAUUUAUUAAUUUUUUGUUUUUCUUUCCCCCAAAUAAAACAGCAUGUUUAAGCUCAACUAUGCAUUAUACUGUCAAAAAAGGGAUUCUUGGCAAAAAAUUUGUUUGUCAAAAGAUUUAUGGGGAUAAAAUUAAUUUUGGGUAAAACAAGUUCCAAAAAUAACAUUUAAUGAAAAUGCACUGCCUAAGAAUUCUUUUAUACAGUAUCUCUAAUCUCACAGCUCCUCUCUGUGGUGCGUAUCAUUAUGUCAUGUCCAUUUUACAAGUAAAGAACUGGUCUUCAAACCUGACCAAAAUUAAACAUCCGGUAAAUUGCAUGCAGUCAACUAACACUUCAAGUCUUCUAAGACCACUAUUCAUUCUACUACACCAUGUAAUGUUAUUGCCCCUGAUAAUGUUAGUAAAAGUGAAGUACCUGAUGAGCUUUUAUGAAUACUCACUAGAUGUUCUCACAGAGCAGAUAACCAGUAUGCCCUGGCACUGAAAUUGUACUGGUGACACCCAAAGAAGAGUCUCUGUGUCACCCCUUCAUUACUGUGACUAACUUACCCAUUUAGUGGAGCAGUGGAGUAGUUCUAAGAUAUUGGUAAUCCUUUCCAUAGGUGGAUGAAUUUUGUUUGCAGAUUAGGUAAACAGUCUUUGAACUCUCCCCAUUUAUGAACAUGGAUUAUGAGUCUCACUGGACCAGGACAAGCAAUGUUGGAAAACCACUUUUCUUUUUAACCUGGCAUAAUCGGUUGUCUUGAAAUUGCAAUUUGUUGGAUCAGCACUCGACAGAAGCUCCCUACCUUCCACAUAGUCCUACACUGUAACUCACUUUGGAAUUUCACUAUUUUGAAAUAUUUUGAAGGGGUUUCCUUGAUGACAGUUGUUACAGGGGACUUUAAGAAAAGUUUCAGAAUUCCUGGAGAGGUUCCAGUGAUGACAGUGGCCUUCUAUCUAUGUGUGUAUACAUAUUUUCUUUAAGAGCAAAAACCUCAUGUUUAAAAAAAAAAAAUCUUUAAAGGGUAAAUUGAUUGGAUUUUGAAACCUUCAGAAACAGAAUGGAAGUGUUUACCUCUUUGUUGACACUAUAUUAGUUUUCAAAUAUUCCUUAAAAAAUCUUUUCCUUUCUUCUUCUGCUUCUUUUAUUAAAUCAACAGACCUAAAUGUCAGCCUGUAGCCGUACUUCCAACUGCCAUCACCAGCCCCUGCACCAGCUGCACAGGCUCUGCCUUGUGACUAAUUGGUGCCUUACAGUUAUCAAGUUUUGGUGGGUUCCCAGAAAUGAAUGCUAUGAUAAUGAGACGGUUCAGUUUGCCAGGAGAUGUGGACAGAGCUCGACAA